CAUGUAGGUGUCCCUUCAAGUUCCGAUUGAAAUCCCUCGGCUCAACCGAGGAACGCGUCGGAAUACUGUUGGGAUUGAGUACAGGAGAGGAGAACGGAAUUCCCGGUGUAAGGGUGAAAUCUGUAGAUAUCGGGAGGAACACCAGUGGCGAAGGCGGUUCUCUGGACUGUAACUGACACUGAAAUGCGAAAGCUAGGGGAGCAAACAGGAUUAGAUACCCUGGUAGUCC
rnacentral:rRNA from 1 species